rnacentral:rRNA from 1 species
CACGGAGUUAGCCGAUGCUUUUUCUUCGGAUACACGCAGUCCGGGACACAUCCCGGGUUUUGUUCUCCGACAAAAGAGGUUUACAACCCAUAGGGCCGUCUUCCCUCACGCGGCUUGGCUGGUUCAGGAUCUCUCCCAUUGACCAAUAUUCCUCACUGCUGCCUCCCGUAGGAGCCUGGUCCGUGUCUCAGUACCAGUGUGGGGGACCUUCCUCUCAGAACCCCUACGCAUCGUCGCCACGGUGGGCCGUUACCCCGCCGUCAAGCUAAUGCGCCGCAUGCCCAUCCUCUUCCGAUGAAUCUUUCCUCGAUCUCGGAUGCCCGAAACCGAUAUACGCGGGAUUAGCCUCCCUUUCGGAAGGUUGUCCCCCUGAAGAGGGCAGGUUGCAUACGUGUUACUCACCCGUGCGCCGGUCGCCGGCAAGGAAAGCAAGCUUCCUCCCGAUCGCCCCUCGACUUGCAUGUGUUAAGCCUGCCGCUAGCGUUCAUCCUGAGCCAGGAUCGAAACUCU